AUUGAACGCUGGCGGCAUGCCUUACACAUGCAAGUCGAACGGUAACAGGUCUUCGGAUGCUGACGAGUGGCGAACGGGUGAGUAAUACAUCGGAACGUGCCCGAUCGUGGGGGAUAACGAGGCGAAAGCUUUGCUAAUACCGCAUACGAUCUACGGAUGAAAGCGGGGGAUCUUCGGACCUCGCGCGGACGGAGCGGCCGAUGGCAGAUUAGGUAGUUGGUGGGAUAAAAGCUUACCAAGCCGACGAUCUGUAGCUGGUCUGAGAGGAUGAUCAGCCACACUGGGACUGAGACACGGCCCAGACUCCUACGGGAGGCAGCAGUGGGGAAUUUUGGACAAUGGGCGAAAGCCUGAUCCAGCCAUGCCGCGUGCAGGAUGAAGGCCUUCGGGUUGCAAACUGCUUUUGUACGGAACGAAAAGCCUCUUUCUAAUAAAGAGGGGUCAUGACGGUACCGUAAGAAUAAGCACCGGCUAACUACGUG
rnacentral:rRNA from 1 species